GUCCAGGGGCGGGAAUCGAACCCACAACCUUCUGCUUACCGGGCAGGUGCCAUGUCCACUUUGCUACCCUGGA